GGUUAAGCGACCAAGCGUACACGGUGGAUGCCCUGGCAGUCAGAGGCGAUGAAGGACGUGCUAAUCUGCGAUAAGCGCCGGUAAGGUGAUAUGAACCGUUAUAACCGGCGAUUUCCGAAUGGGGAAACCCAGUGUGAUUCGUCACACUAUCAUUACGUGAAUACAUAGCGUAAUGAAGCGAACCGGGGGAACUGAAACAUCUAAGUACCCCGAGGAAAAGAAAUCAACCGAGAUUCCCCCAGUAGCGGCGAGCGAACGGGGAGGAGCCCAGAGCCUGAAUCAGCAUGUGUGUUAGUGGAAGCGUCUGGAAAGGCGCGCGAUACAGGGUGACAGCCCCGUACACAAAAGCGCAUGUGCUGUGAGCUCGAUGAGUAGGGCGGGACACGUGGUAUCCUGUCUGAAUAUGGGGGGACCAUCCUCCAAGGCUAAAUACUCCUGACUGACCGAUAGUGAACCAGUACCGUGAGGGAAAGGCGAAAAGAACCCCCGGCGAGGGGAGUGAAACAGAACCUGAAACCGUGUACGUACAAGCAGUGGGAGCCCCACCACUAAGCCAGUGGUGAACUCCACAUACGCAUCCUUUGCUGAAGAUGCGGUUAACGGAGCGCAAGCGACGUUCAACCUCAAAAAGAAGCAGAGGGGGGGCUUAGUGGUGGGGUGACUGCGUACCUUUUGUAUAAUGGGUCAGCGACUUAUAUUCUGUAGCAAGGUUAACCGCAUAGGGGAGCCGAAGGGAAACCGAGUCUUAACCGGGCGUUAAGUUGCAGGGUAUAGACCCGAAACCCGGUGAUCUAGCCAUGGGCAGGUUGAAGGUUGGGUAACACUAACUGGAGGACCGAACCGACUAAUGUUGAAAAAAUUAGCGGAUGACCUGUGGCUGGGGGUGAAAGGCCAAUCAAACCGGGAGAUAGCUGGUUCUCCCCGAAAGCUAUUUAGGUAGCGCCUCGUGAACUCAUCUCCGGGGGUAGAGCACUGUUUCGGCUAGGGGGGCCAUCCCGGCUUACCAACCCGAUGCAAACUGCGAAUACCGGAGAAUGUUAUCACGGGAGACACACGGCGGGUGCUAACGUCCGUCGUGAAGAGGGAAACAACCCAGACCGCCAGCUAAGGUCCCAAAGUCAUGGUUAAGUGGGAAACGAUGUGGGAAGGCCCAGACAGCCAGGAUGUUGGCUUAGAAGCAGCCAUCAUUUAAAGAAAGCGUAAUAGCUCACUGGUCGAGUCGGCCUGCGCGGAAGAUGUAACGGGGCUAAACCAUGCACCGAAGCUGCGGCAGCGACGCUUAUGCGUUGUUGGGUAGGGGAGCGUUCUGUAAGCCUGCGAAGGUGGCCUGUGAGGGUUGCUGGAGGUAUCAGAAGUGCGAAUGCUGACAUAAGUAACGAUAAAGCGGGUGAAAAGCCCGCUCGCCGGAAGACCAAGGGUUCCUGUCCAACGUUAAUCGGGGCAGGGGUGAGUCGACCCCUAAGGCGAGGCCGAAAGGCGUAGUCGAUGGGAAACGGGUUAAUAUUCCCGUACUUGGUGUUACUGCGAAGGGGGGACGGAGAAGGCUAUGUUGGCCGGGCGACGGUUGUCCCGGUUUAAGCGUGUAGGUGUGUGUUCCAGGUAAAUCCGGUUCACUUUAACACUGAGGCGUGACGACGAGGCACCACGGUGCUGAAGCAACAAAUGCCCUGCUUCCAGGAAAAGCCUCUAAGCAUCAGGUAACAUCAAAUCGUACCCCCAAACCGACACAGGUGGUCAGGUAGAGAAUACCAAGGCGCUUGAGAGAACUCGGGUGAAGGAACUAGGCAAAAUGGUGCCGUAACUUCGGGAGAAGGCACGCUGACACGUAGGUGAAGUGGUUUACCCAUGGAGCUGAAGUCAGUCGAAGAUACCAGCUGGCUGCAACUGUUUAUUAAAAACACAGCACUGUGCAAACACGAAAGUGGACGUAUACGGUGUGACGCCUGCCCGGUGCCGGAAGGUUAAUUGAUGGGGUCAGCGCAAGCGAAGCUCCUGAUCGAAGCCCCGGUAAACGGCGGCCGUAACUAUAACGGUCCUAAGGUAGCGAAAUUCCUUGUCGGGUAAGUUCCGACCUGCACGAAUGGCGUAAUGAUGGCCAGGCUGUCUCCACCCGAGACUCAGUGAAAUUGAACUCGCUGUGAAGAUGCAGUGUACCCGCGGCAAGACGGAAAGACCCCGUGAACCUUUACUAUAGCUUGACACUGAACAUUGAGCCUUGAUGUGUAGGAUAGGUGGGAGGCUUUGAAGCGUGGACGCCAGUCUGCGUGGAGCCAACCUUGAAAUACCACCCUUUAAUGUUUGAUGUUCUAACGUGGACCCGUAAUCCGGGUUGCGGACAGUGUCUGGUGGGUAGUUUGACUGGGGCGGUCUCCUCCUAAAGAGUAACGGAGGAGCACGAAGGUUGGCUAAUCCUGGUCGGACAUCAGGAGGUUAGUGCAAUGGCAUAAGCCAGCUUGACUGCGAGCGUGACGGCGCGAGCAGGUGCGAAAGCAGGUCAUAGUGAUCCGGUGGUUCUGAAUGGAAGGGCCAUCGCUCAACGGAUAAAAGGUACUCCGGGGAUAACAGGCUGAUACCGCCCAAGAGUUCAUAUCGACGGCGGUGUUUGGCACCUCGAUGUCGGCUCAUCACAUCCUGGGGCUGAAGUAGGUCCCAAGGGUAUGGCUGUUCGCCAUUUAAAGUGGUACGCGAGCUGGGUUUAGAACGUCGUGAGACAGUUCGGUCCCUAUCUGCCGUGGGCGCUGGAGAACUGAGGGGGGCUGCUCCUAGUACGAGAGGACCGGAGUGGACGCAUCACUGGUGUUCGGGUUGUCAUGCCAAUGGCACUGCCCGGUAGCUAAAUGCGGAAGAGAUAAGUGCUGAAAGCAUCUAAGCACGAAACUUGCCCCGAGAUGAGUUCUCCCUGAGACUUUGAGUCUCCUGAAGGAACGUUGAAGACGACGACGUUGAUAGGCCGGGUGUGUAAGCGCAGCGAUGCGUUGAGCUAACCGGUACUAAUGAACCGUGAGGCUUAACCUU
rnacentral:rRNA from 1 species